UACGGAGGGUGCGAGCGUUGUCCGGAAUUAUUGGGCGUAAAGAGCUUGUAGGCGGUCUGUCGCGUCUGCUGUGAAAAUCCGGGGCUCAACCCCGGACUUGCAGUGGGUACGGGCAGACUAGAGUGUGGUAGGGGAGACUGGAAUUCCUGGUGUAGCGGUGAAAUGCGCAGAUAUCAGGAGAACACCCGUGGCGAAAGCAGGCUCUCUGGAACGGUACUGACGCUGAGACGCGAAAGCGUGGGGAGCGAA
rnacentral:rRNA from 1 species